CACGUAGGGCGCAAGCGUUGUCCGGAAUUAUUGGGCGUAAAGAGCUCGUAGGCGGUCUGUUGCGUCCGCUGUGAAAACUCGGGGCUUAACCCCGAGCCUGCAGUGGAUACGGGCAGACUAGAGGUAGGUAGGGGAGAAUGGAAUUCCUGGUGUAGCGGUGGAAUGCGCAGAUAUCAGGAGGAACACCGAUGGCGAAGGCAGCUCGCUGGGACGGUACUGACGCUGAGGCGCGAAAGCGUGGGGAGCGAACAGG
rnacentral:rRNA from 1 species